rnacentral:rRNA from 1 species
UACGAAGGGGGCUAGCGUUGUUCGGAAUUACUGGGCGUAAAGCGUGCGCAGGCGGCUUCUCAAGUCAGGGGUGAAAUCCUGGAGCUCAACUCCAGAACUGCCUUUGAUACUGAGGAUCUUGAGUUCGGGAGAGGUGAGUGGAACUGCGAGUGUAGAGGUGAAAUUCGUAGAUAUUCGCAAGAACACCAGUGGCGAAGGCGGCUCACUGGCCCGAUACUGACGCUGAGGCACGAAAGCGUGGGGAGCAAACAGGG